UCCCUGGUGGCUCAAACAGUAAAGCGUCUGCCUGAAAUGUGGGAGACCCAGGUCCAAUUCCUGGGUUGGGAA
rnacentral:tRNA from 1 species